rnacentral:lncRNA from 1 species
AUGCACCUCCCACUUUGAUACCAACUUUCUCCAUGCUCAAGAGGUUUCUGUGUGAGAUUUUUUCACACCAAAGAGGUCUUCUCCCUCCCUUUCUACAUGCCAAAUCUAAUUUAGUUUUGAUAAAAGGAAGGUUUUGAAAUUGAAUUUCAAAAUAUUUCUUAUCAAGAGAAUCUGUUCUUAUCCAAAUCACUCUACAUGCCAACUUAUUUUUUCUCCUUAUGUGUGUGGUACUUUGAGGAGAAUUUUUAGUGUAGGAAAUUAGAUUAGGAUCUGAUUUCAUAUGG